GAGAAGCUUGCUUCUCUGAUGUUAGCGGCGGACGGGUGAGUAACACGUGGAUAACCUACCUAUAAGACUGGGAUAACUUCGGGAAACCGGAGCUAAUACCGGAUAAUAUUUUGAACCGCAUGGUUCAAAAGUGAAAGACGGUCUUGCUGUCACUUAUAGAUGGAUCCGCGCUGCAUUAGCUAGUUGGUAAGGUAACGGCUUACCAAGGCAACGAUGCAUAGCCGACCUGAGAGGGUGAUCGGCCACACUGGAACUGAGACACGGUCCAGACUCCUACGGGAGGCAGCAGUAGGGAAUCUUCCGCAAUGGGCGAAAGCCUGACGGAGCAACGCCGCGUGAGUGAUGAAGGUCUUCGGAUCGUAAAACUCUGUUAUUAGGGAAGAACAUAUGUGUAAGUAACUGUGCACAUCUUGACGGUACCUAAUCAGAAAGCCACGGCUAACUACGUGCCAGCAGCCGCGGUAAUACGUAGGUGGCAAGCGUUAUCCGGAAUUAUUGGGCGUAAAGCGCGCGUAGGCGGUUUUUUAAGUCUGAUGUGAAAGCCCACGGCUCAACCGUGGAGGGUCAUUGGAAACUGGAAAACUUGAGUGCAGAAGAGGAAAGUGGAAUUCCAUGUGUAGCGGUGAAAUGCGCAGAGAUAUGGAGGAACACCAGUGGCGAAGGCGACUUUCUGGUCUGUAACUGACGCUGAUGUGCGAAAGCGUGGGGAUCAAACAGGAUUAGAUACCCUGGUAGUCCACGCCGUAAACGAUGAGUGCUAAGUGUUAGGGGGUUUCCGCCCCUUAGUGCUGCAGCUAACGCAUUAAGCACUCCGCCUGGGGAGUACGACCGCAAGGUUGAAACUCAAAGGAAUUGACGGGGACCCGCACAAGCGGUGGAGCAUGUGGUUUAAUUCGAAGCAACGCGAAGAACCUUACCAAAUCUUGACAUCCUUUGACAA
rnacentral:rRNA from 1 species